rnacentral:tRNA from 2 species
GGGCCUGUAGCUCAGUUGGUUAGAGCAUCUGACUCAUAAUCAGAGGGUCGGGGGUUCAAGUCCCUCCGGGCCCA